GGAUAGGUGGCAGAGUGGUCUAACGCGCUUGUCUUGAAAACAAGAGUCCGGGCAACCGGACCGUGAGUUCGAAUCUCACCCUAUCCG
rfam:Parcubacteria bacterium GW2011_GWA1_44_13 TW27_C0010, whole genome shotgun sequence.